rnacentral:lncRNA from 1 species
CAAACUCGGUCCCAGUCCAGGUUACAGAGACGCGCUGACUCCAGGGAGGAGAGAACGGCGUCUACACCGCUGGUUUCUCCGCCUCAGCCACGGGCACCGGUGAAGACCUGAGACCACCCCCCUGCCCUCAAGGACACAGGCGAAAGGAGGCCACACACCUCGGGGCCGCCGCCAAACUGCGUCCCAUUCCCCCUGGUUUACGGGGUGAAAAAAACGCAGAGCGCGCCAACAGGAGAGAAAGUAGCCUGAUUUUUGUUCCUGAGGCCCUGACUCUGAACGGGAGAUUCCAAGAGGGGAAGGUAACCAGGCUGGACUAGAACACGCUGGGAUCACAGCUGUCUCCUGGGAGAUUCAGAUUCUGUUUCCCCACCGCCCAGCCCCUGGUAACCACCAUUCUGCUUUGUCUCUAUGAGUUUAACGUUUUUAGAUUCCACAUGUAAGUAAGAUCAUACAUUACUUGUCUUUCUGUGUCUGGCUUAUUUCAUUUAGCACAAUUUCCUCCAGGUUCAUCCAUGUUUUCACAAAUGGCAGAAUUUCCUUAUUUAUUUUUUAAGGCUGAAUAAUAUUCCAUUAUAAAUAUGUCAAUCACAUUUUUUUUACCCAUUCAUCCAUCAAUAGACACUUAGGUUAUUUCCAUGUCUUGGCUAUUGUGCCUAAUGCUGCAAUGAACUUAGGGGUGCAGAUAUCUCUCAAGAUACUUAUUAUAUUUCCUUUGGAUAUAUACCGGGACAUGGGAGUGCUGAAUCGUACAGUAACCUAGCUUCAGGCAAUGUGGAAGAAGCAGCAUCCCGUUGGAUGAAAAUUAUAUUUUGAUGGCUUUGGAUGUCCUUCCCAGUUGCUUGGGUGGACUCGCCUGAGGGAGCAAGUCGACCUUGCUGAAGAAGCGUACAUCAUGGCUGCUCAAAACCAAGCUCAUGUUCUCCUGGCCCCCAGAAUGAUUCUCAAAGGGCCAAGAACUUCAUUUCAUCGAGUCUUCAUUUUGUUUUUUGGUGUUCUGAGCUUGUGCCUUUGUUUGUGUUCCUAGUUCUUGGCCAAGUAUGGUUCUGGCUCUGUGCUGUGCUCAGCAGAGAAUUAAUCCCCGUUGGUGGCAGCAGCGAUUGAGAACCAUGGUCUGACUGUUUAAUGAUGCUUGUCAGCUGGAUAGUGGGGAAAAGUUAUCCUUUAUGUUUGAGUUUGCAAUUUACUGUUUGGUUUGAGCCCAGGCACUGCGAAGUUCCAUGUCCACCUGCGGAUUUCUGUCCAGUAGAACACAUGACUUUUGUAUCAUAGAAAUCUUAUUCUAACAUUGUUUGAUUUCUAAAAUAAAUUUUCUGGAGCUGGCCCUGAUGCCCUAGUGGUUAACUUUUGGUGUUCUCACCACUUUGGUGGCCUGGGUUAGUUUCCCAGUCGUGGAACCACACCAUCUGUCUGUCAGUAGUCAUGCUGUGGUGGCAGCUCACAUAGAAGAACUAGGACUUCAGCUAAGAUAUACAUCCAUGCAGUGGAGCUUUAGGGAGGAAAAAAAAUAGGAAGAUUGGCAACAGAUGUUAGCUCUGGGUGAAUCUCCCCUGGAAAACAAAAAAGAUAAAAAUUAAUUUUCUGAUGGCCUAUAUAAAAACUAUCACUCUAAGAACUAGCUUUACUGUCUGAUUUCUUCAUCAAUG